rnacentral:rRNA from 1 species
AAUACCCUAUUAUUUUAAAAGUAAAUAAUUAAACCUAAUUAGUAAAAGUUAAGUUCUUAAAAAUUAAAGAAUCUGGCGGUAUUUUAGUCUAUUCAGAGGAAUCUGUCCUAUAAUUGAUAAUCCACGAUUUUUUAUACCUAUUUUAUUAAUUUACAUAUCGCCGUAGUUUGAAUAUUUUUUGAAAAUUAUAAUAUUCAUAAUUUAUUUAAUAAAAAAAAUCAGGUCAAGGUGUAGUUUAUAGAUAGGAAGAGAUGGGUUACAAUAAAAGUAUUUAUUAUGGAUUAAUUAAUUAAAUUUUUUUAUGAAGGUGGAUUUGAAAGUAAUUUUAUUUA